UGCGUAGGCGGGAGAUUAAGUCAGUGGUGAAAUCCUGCAGCUUAACUGUAGAAUUGCCAUUGAUACUGGUUUUCUUGAGUGUAGUUGAAGUGGGCGGAAUGUGUAUUGUAGCGGUGAAAUGCUUAGAUAUUACACAGAACACCUAUUGCGAAGGCAGCUCACUAAACUAAUACUGACGCUGAGGCACGAAAGCGUGGGGAGCAAACAGGAUUAGAUACCCUGGUAGUCC
rnacentral:rRNA from 1 species